CUGCGGCUGCUGAGCGCCGGCGCCCGCCAGAGCUUCACGCUCAGCUGCCAGGACUCGGCCGCCUGGUUCCACGCCGGGGCCGCCAGCUACGCCCUGGCCCUGCGCUUCCGGGGGGCCGACGGGCAGGAGCUGGGGCACAGCCGCCCCGCGGCCCCCGUCCACGCCCUGCACGACGGCUGCCAGCUGCGCCAGGGCCAGGCGCGCACAGUGCUGGAGGUGAGAUCGUCCCGCCCGGAGCAGCUGCCCCUGACCGACGUGGCCGUGCCGGACUUCGGAGCCGCCAACCAGAAAUUCGGCUUCGAGUUGGGCCCCGUCUGCUUCACGGGCUGAGGGCGCCGGCUGGAGCCCCCCCAGGGACGCUCCCGGGGCCAGGCUGCCCCCCAUGGGGCAGAGAUCUCUGGGGAGCUGCUCUGGACUGCCGGGGGGGCGGCUCCCAGGGCCACGCUGACCCCCCCACAGGUGCCCCCUCCUCGCUGUCUCCAGGGCGCACUCAGGACUCAGACUCACGCCCUGGCCCUGCCGCUGGCCCCCCCAGCCCGAGCCCAGGGAGCCCCACGGGAUGCCCAGCCCUAUUAAUGCUGCAGGCCCCCCCUGGGGCCAGUGCUGUGGGGCAGGCGGGCGGGCGGGCACCUCUUUGUGGCCUGAGCAGGGAGCAGGUCACGGAGUGAGCCCCCCAUGGUGCUAUGAUGCCCCCCUCGGAGCCUCUGUUAGCAACGCACUGGACACGUCUCUAGGCCGAGCAGCCCCCCCAAAAUGCCCAGCUGGGCGGGAGGGGCCCCGGGGCAAAGCAGCCCCCCCGAGACUCCAGGACGCCCAGGCAAGGGGCCCGAUUGGGGGAUCCAGGCCCUGCCCCAUUGAACAGAGCAGGGCAGGUGCUCCCCAGCAGGGAGAGGCCUGGGCAGCCCACCCUGCUGCUAAAGAGCCUCCGUCCGCCCGGGGCUGGGAGGGGCUGAGAGCUGACGCCCCCACGGAGACGCCUGUGGCUCAGGGUGGGGCUCCGGACACCCCCCUUGGCCUCCCCCGUGGGGUAUCGAUCCCGGCCCCUCGGCACGAGGGUGAAGCUGGAGCCUCUGGAGCCAGGGUACCAAGGACCCACGCCCAGUGGUAAUGGGGGCAAGGAUCCGGCACCCCCCACACAAGGCCCCUUGGGGUGGAGCCCGAGGGCAGCAUUGGGGGGGGGGAGAAACCCAGACCUUGCCCCCCCUCACCGGGCUCCCCACGUCUGUUCUUGCCCAUGUCACUGCAUCCAGCCGUGUGGUGCCAGCACGGAUACUGUACGAUAAACGAACCUGUAUGAAA